GUCAUUUGUAGGGACAUGGAUGAAAGUGGAAAUCAUCAUUCUCAGUAAACUAUCGCAAGAACAAAAAACCAAACACCGCAUAUUCUCACUCAUAGGUGGGAAUUGAACAAUGAGAUCACAUGGACACAGGAAGGGGAAUAUCACACUCUGCGGACUGUGGUGGGGUUGGGGGAACGGGGAGGGAUAGCAUUGGGAGAUAUACCUAAUGCUAGAUGAUGAGUUAGUGGGUGCAGCGCACCAGCAUGGCACAUGUAUACAUAUGUAACUAACCUGCACAUUGUGCAUGUGUACCCUAAAACUUAAAGUAUAAUAAUAAUAAAAAAAAGACUUUAUAGCUGCCUCCAAAGACACAUAGACUCUAUUUCCAGCCUCCUGAAAAUUCUGUCCCUGCAUCAGCCUAUUCAGGUUCUGCCCAGUCUCUCUCCCACUUCUUUUUCUCCAGCCUCUCAUUCUCUCUUCUCUGAUUUAUUUAAGUCGUCUUUUAUCUUUCUACCUUCCAGACUCUUUCCACAUUAGCAAUCCCUUCAAAUUUCCCCCACCCAGUGCAUGUAAAUUCCGAAAGUCAUCUAGGAGGGUGAAGUGCUUCUUUAGUGGGGAAGUCUGGGAGAGGGUGGGGAUGAGGAAGGGGGCACUGGCAGGUGAGUAUGUGAGGAGCCAUGCACUAAUAUGCUUUGCAAACUCCAUGUUACUCACGUUCAUGCCUGCCUGUAAGUUAUUGCUUGUGCUAGGACCCGGAUUAAAUGUUUUCCCAUUAUGUUACUAAUUGAUUGAACCUAAUGAUCUUAAAAAAAAAAAAAGCAACAAAAACAUCUUGGCCAUUUCGAGCCCUUUCUCUGAAAUUUUGCUGAAACAUGUAGUGGUCAGUUGGAUGCUUUCAUAUUGUUUAUUGCUAUUUGUGUUAGAGAUCUUGUAUCCUUCACUAAACUUAAAUGUUUUCAUAGCAGGACCCAGUGCUAGUAAGAUCUCUGUGAUCUCUUCUGAUUCUAGCAUGUCAUUCAAUGAAGAUUUAUUGAUUGAUUAUGUCUUGCCAAAGGUCCUAUGUGUUUAUUUCUAAAGCAUAAACAAAUUGAUAAUAGGAUAGGUGACACAGAAGCAUCUUCAGGAGUAAGAGACCAGACUGAUAUCAACAUCUUCCUCAACAAAAUAUAUUAAUGGAUGGUUGAGAGUCGUUGUAACUGAAGUCCAUGUGGUCCUGAGAGUACAGCAGAAGAUUGGUCUCCAGUCUCUCUCUGUCCCUAUAGAUUAGUUACUGUGAUUAUAUCUGAUUGUAUUUAAUUAGUUUAAUAAAAUAGGCAGGAAACGUGGGCUUUGAAAAAUACAUAGAAAUUCAACAGGCAAAAAGAGGGAGAGUGUACUUCACAAACUAAGUUGUCUAGCAUAGCUGGAGGGCAAGGUAUGGACUGGAAGUAGGAAAGCAGGGGCCAGUCAGCAUGGAAAGGUAGCAAGGCCAGGAGGACUAGAACCCUGACUUUCUCUCCAGCCCUCCCCACUUGACACCUGGGAAGGGGCAGACCUGGAAGAACCACCUGAGAAGCCCCUGGAGCGGCACUUGUGGAUCUUUGACAGGAGUAUGUGGAAAUUCAUUCUGCAUGCACUCCUGUACACACCACAAAUAUGGCAGAAACAAUGCUGAUGAUGGAACAGCAACAACCUUGUGUGCAGAGGUUGGCUCCUGCAGCCCUGUCCCAAGAUAUCCCCGCCCUGUGCAGAAGUUACCCCAAUUGCACGUGCUUUGUCAAGAGAGAGUACUCAGCUGAUGAAUAGCUUAUUUCUGUGGCCCAUCAUUAAUGGCAGUCAUCACGGCUUUGUCUUUCCAUAGCAUUUCCAGUUUCUGGGCAAAUAAGCCCCCACGCCUUUGGGCCUGGUAUAAUGGACACAUUACAUGAGGUGUUUUAGAAUUUCUUAACAAAUAUGUAUUUCACAAAUAUAUCAUGAUAGGUGUAAGCAGUUUGGAACUACUGGGAAGAACUCCAGCUCCCCAUUACCCUCUACUAAAUGUACAUACCAGUGGUGGGCUGGUAAAUAUUUGGCAAUCGAUUCUUUGAGGAAAAAAGAAAAGCCCUGAUUGGCAGGUAGCAUUUAUCAAUUUCGUGGUAUGAAUGCUCCUGCCACGGCCAAUCUCAAGCUAUCAGUGAAUGCAUAGUCUGGGGGAAGUGUUUUAAGUCACUGAAUGCAGUGUUUGGAGAAGAGGGGAGAAACAUUGGUUUUUGUGGAUUAGUACAAGCUGGCUUCAGCACAUCAUUGUCCCUCAAAGUAUGCAUCCCUCAUCGCGAAAUUGUCAGAUUAGGAAUUAAUUUCAUAAGAGAGAAAUUCACUCGCAUGAGUCCUUGCAUUAUCAACUCUGCUAGUACAUCAUACUUAUUUUAGGCCAGACACUAUUUUAAGCACAUCACAAAUAUUAACUCAUUUAGUUUGCAGAGAAACUAUAUUUUCUAUUUACUGAAGUAAUGGAGGCGCAGAGAAGUUAGAUAAGUUGCUCAAGGUCACACAGCUGGCAAGUAAUAGAGGUGGGAUUCAAACCGAGGCAGCCUAGCUCCGGUGCCAGCACUUUUUAAUAAUGGCACUCUGUUCUCUCUCAUAUCACAGCAUUCUAUUUGUUUCCCUAAUACAUUCAAUACAGGCUACAGUUAUUUUAUUGCUUUGUUACUUUUUGUGUGUAUACACCUCUCCUACCAGACUACAAACUUCCUGGGAACAGGUACCAUGACAGACACUCAGAUAAAUAGUACUUAGAUGUAAGAAUAAAUCUUAUAUCACUCUCUCAUAUAUUCAACAACUGUUAAUAGUAAGAGUUAUUAAUAGAUAACGUUGGCUGGGCAUAUUGGCUCAUGCCUGUAAUCCCAGCACUUUGGGAGGCCAAGCAGGCGGAACACGAGGUCAGGAGAUUGAGAACAUCCUGGCUAACGCGGUGAAACCCCGUCUCUACUAAAACUACAAAAAAAAAAAUUAGCUGGUCGUGGUGGCCGGUGCCUGUAGUCCCAGCUACCUGGGAGGCUGAGGCAGGAGGAUGGUGUGAACCCCGGACGUGGAGCUUGCAGUGAGCCAAGAUUGCACCACUGCACUCCAGCCUGGGCAACACAGUGAGACUCCUCUAAAAAAAAAAAAAAAAAAAAAAAAGAGGGACAAACACAAUCUACACCUUGAUGUUCGUAUUUAUUUAAAUGCUGUGUAGUUUCACCUUUCUUCAAAAUAAAUUUGAAUGCUUAGUUAUGAUUAAACAGGUUACUACUACUUAUGUAAGUCCUAUUUUGUAGUUAAAUUCUUAAGUAAUUGGGUCAUUAGGUGUUCAUUUUUCAUCAGUUCCAGAGGUUGGCUUCUGCAGCCCUCUCUCAAGAACUCAUAAAGAGAUCUGUCUCUUUACUAGAAUAUAACAUACAUGAGGGAAACAGCAGAGACUAUAUUUGUUGUAUUAUACUACCAGUAAUUAGUACAGUGUUGGGACACAGCUGACACUAAUAAAUAUAUCUAUGGCAUAAAUUAAUUAAACUGUCUACUUUUGUAGAUUUAGCUGUUUCUAACAUAACGCUAUUAAAGUAGCUCAUCUUCAGGCACAUCCAUGCAUAUUGCACUUGCCUUUGUUCAUACCUAUGUGCUUGUCUUGAUCUCCUUGGAUUCUUGGCAUGGGAAGAGACUGAGUCUUAUUAACCUCAUAGCCCUAGGAUACAGUAUAAUGUCUAAUGCCCCGUAGGUGUGCCAAACAUGUUUUCAGGCUGAAGCAAACAGUAGAUGUUCAGUAAGAACUUAUUAAUCAGUGGGCUAGUAAGGAAGAAGUUGGUCCUCAAAGCAGACUAUGCCUGAUAGGAAAGGUGCUCGAGUUGUUAAUACAGAUGCUGUUAAUACAUCCUGUGUGCCAUCCAGGGUGCUGGUGACAGAGGGACACAUUGAAGGAUUGUGCCGACGUGCUGUGAAUGACUUGGAGCAUCACUUUUCAAAAGUAGCAAGGUGCUCCAUGAAGAGCACUGGCCUAAGAGCCCAGAGUUCAGAAUUUCAAGUCUGGUUCAUCCACACAUCCACACAUGUAGAUCACCUGAUACUUCCAAGCAAGCAGGUGUUCUUUUCAGAAGCCAGAAGCUGAUAACCUGGGCUUUCUGAUCUAACCCCAGCCCAAAUUCAUUGCAAUGGAGGAAUUGGGGAGGAGAUUCUUCCUACUGAGAAGUGGGUGCCAACUCUCCCUUUCAAAUUUGUUCAUCAACAAACUAAAGGGGAUGCCAGAAAUGUCUGGAGCAAUGGAAGAACCACUGGAAUAAUGCUCCUGCCUGAUUGUAUCUACUUAACCCACUCUCCAAGAGCCAGAAUCAGAUUUCAACCGUAUGGAAUCAUCUACAAUGCAGCAGAUGGGUUUACAAGUCUCUUGGUCUCUUCAUGAAGAAGGCGCAGCAAUCGUGUCCCAAGUCCUUGAGGACUUCACAGGGUGUUCUAGUGUCCUGAGAAUAUACCUGCCUAAGGGACUCAUCAUUAAAAAGGAACAAAGAGGCCCUAACCCAACCUCAAAGAGAAGGAAAAGGACCUUUUUCUAAAUGGAAGAAUUCUUUUGUAAGAAACGAGGAAGAGUUAGAACAAGCAUCUGCAUAGCCUGGGAAGGGCCACUCUCUCCCAAGGCAUGCUGCCGCUUGCCUCUGAUGUCUGGACGCAAACAGCAGAUCCUCAAUCUGCUCCAGGGUGUUAGUGCCAACCCUGACCUAGUGAGCUUACUCCUUUCUCUUGGGCUUAGGCACAUCUUGAAAGGGGAGAUAGGGAUGACUCUGUGCAUCAGUCCCUCUGUCUGGUCCAGUGGACCUUGUCCUUAUGAUGGCCUGUGAAAAGAUCUUAGUUUCUGAGCAGUUAUGCAAGUUGCUCAAAGCCUUUGAGAUGUCCCCCAGAAGCUGAGUGUAGAAGCAGUUCCACCACCCAGCCUGCAUUAUCUACACAAGACAAUUAGGCAGGGCUCUGGGAACACUCUAAGGGCCAGGGAUUAGGGAGAGAAUCAACCUUGCAGCGCCACCGGUUUGGGGAGGUCAUCACCACACUGCCCUGCCUCUAUCUAAGGAGUGUCUGAGCCCUGGAAAAGCCGCACUCAUGGCUGUCCUGUGGAAUCCUGGAAAACACCAUCCAAACAGGAGAAAAAGCCUGAAAUGAGGGAGAGAGGUUUCCCUUCAGCCCUCUGAGGAAAGUAGAACACAGAAACCCUGGACUGAAGGGGCCCCCAAGUUGGCCUGUGCUAUCCCCAACUGCUCCUCUCUGGAUGCUUCCCACCCUUAGAUUAAACCUUGCUUAUUGACCCCAUAGAGGCUUCAUGUUCUCUCCCGGCUCCUCCCAAAUUGCCCACUGGAAUGUACGUGAUGAGGUCAUUUGUAGUAAGCUACAACUUUUGUGGUUACCCCUGGCAGGGCUAUUUAUACCAUGAUAGGAAAUAAAGUCUGUG
rnacentral:lncRNA from 1 species